GACGAACGCUGGCGGCGUGCUUAACACAUGCAAGUCGAACGGAAAGGCCCCGCUUUUGUGGGGUGCUCGAGUGGCGAACGGGUGAGUAACACGUGAGUAACCUGCCCUUGACUUUGGGAUAACUUCAGGAAACUGGGGCUAAUACCGGAUAGGAGCUCCUGCUGCAUGGUGGGGGUUGGAAAGUUUCGGCGGUUGGGGAUGGACUCGCGGCUUAUCAGCUUGUUGGUGGGGUAGUGGCUUACCAAGGCUUUGACGGGUAGCCGGCCUGAGAGGGUGACCGGCCACAUUGGGACUGAGAUACGGCCCAGACUCCUACGGGAGGCAGCAGUGGGGAAUAUUGCACAAUGGGCGGAAGCCUGAUGCAGCAACGCCGCGUGCGGGAUGACGGCCUUCGGGUUGUAAGCCGCUUUCGCCUGUGACGAAGCGUGAGUGACGGUAAUGGGUAAAGAAGCACCGGCUAACUACGUG
rnacentral:rRNA from 1 species